UGUUCUAACAGGCAAAGAAAGUAUAACUAAUGAAAUUAAAUUCAGGGAAGAAAGAUGAGCUCUGCUAAUGAUUAAUGUGUGGCUUAACAGAUCAACAGGACACGCUGAGUGGAGAGGUCGCCCAGACGGUUCCAGUCUGACGCCCAUGGAAAGGAAGAACAAUGAAAAAGCAAGUUCAGCUCCCCUGCCUACCCCCAGCUUGUCUCAGGGGAGACACAAUUAUUAACGGCUCUGAAAUGUCACUUGCUUCGCUUUCCAGUAGCCACUUCCUAAGCUAUUUUCUGACACCCCCCCCCGGCCCCGCCAAAUAACUUGCAAUGUGAAAACUGACCCAUGUCUGAAAUCGAAUUUGGGGCCUAGCACCCACCCCAUCUCUGCACUAGCUUUAGACAAGGGAAGGAACCAGUGCAACUCAGCGCAUGUGGAUAGAGACCCUGCUGCUCCCUGAGCCUGCCCCCGAGGACAGUGGGAGGCAGGGUCUGCAAGGGGCACCGAGAGGAGAGGACAGAGCUAGACGAGGUCUCAGCUGAGGCGGUGCCCACUGGCCAAGGCAGGAGCGAUGCCUUCCCGGAGGGGCAGGCUCUGGGCUCAGAGCCUCGGGUGAGGGUAGCUGGGUCUGCUGCUCCUUCUUUGCCAGGCACGAGAGGUGGGUAGGAAAAGACUGCUCCCCGCUGGCUCCCUCUUUAGGACAUGUGGCCUCCUUCCUUCUGCAUGUCUUCCUUCUUAAGGUUCACGGAGUCCCACGUGUGUGCCAGGCCCUGGGGUAGGGAGGAGGAACAGCUGAGGACACGAGGCUCCAGACCCUGCAGUUCACAAGAGAACCCUGUGGCAUCUGGGAAGUGGACAACGGGGAAAUCAAAUGCCGGGAGAGCUCUUGCCCUUCUAAGACAGAGGCGGGAGGCACGGCUGGAAGCCAGCCCAGUAGACUGAACACCUUCUGGAAGAUUCUCCUUCGAACCGAGUACCUUGAAGAGGACUCCCACUCUUUCAGGACACAACCCUAAUGGAACUUUCUCACCAGGCUUGUCUUUGGCUUAGUGGUCAUUCACAGAUGAGCACGUGAGCCGUGUGGGCCAAUCAGAGAACUUCUCUGGGAUGUUUUGGAUGGAGUUGAUGGUAAAGAAUAUGAUCUUUGUGCUGUCAGUCAACGUCUUCAUGAGCUGGCCGGAGCCAGCCUGGGAGAAGGGGGUUGUCCUCAAAGAAGCAGAGGAAAAAAGCACGGGGUGUGCCCCGGUCCUGCCUCAGGUUGCUUUGAAGGGCCUUUGAGAGCCUUUUGCACAAAGUGCCUGAAAGGCAGGGUCACUAGAGUGCAAUGUAGACUCCGGGGCAUUUUUUAAAAAUGGAUUCAGCCGCCCACAGGUGUGAAGGUGAGGAAACAGCAAGCUGCUGACCGGGUUUUGAACAGAAAUUAUACAACUUCUGAAAACAAAUUGCGUUGCUGGAGUGGGGCUUGGCCAGGAGUCCAUCUGCCUCGAUCCUCCCUUUGGCUGGCUGAGCACUUUAGCCCAUCGGGCACAGAGUGGCAGCACGUGGGACCCCCACGCCGCCCUCAGGCCUGCUGCUUGAGGAACUGUUGAAUGUUCCGGAUCCAUGACCAGGAUCAGGGAAAAGGUGCUGUGGAGAAGAGGGAGGAGUUCCGGCUGGAGGAAAGUGAAGAUGCCCUAUUGUGGGUUUGCUGCAAGAGGGGGUGCGGACAGGCAGUGGCUGCCUAGCGGCGGGGUUUGCAGGCACCACCAUCAGCUUGGGAACAAUAUCCAAGGUCAUCCUGGAAUGUCUUCCCACUGAGCUCCAGUUGGCGUCAUAUUUUUUCUGGGACUUAGAGCAGGAGAUAGAGACUCAGGUAGGAAGCAGAGCUCUGGGAGAGCAGACACAAACAUGGCCAACUUUAUGAUUCAAUUGAAAGUCAGCUUGGAGCAUAGAGGGGCUGAGA
rnacentral:lncRNA from 1 species